rnacentral:rRNA from 1 species
GACGAACGCUGGCGGCGCGCUUAACACAUGCAAGUCGAGCGAGAACCAGGACUUCGGUCCUGGGGACAGCGGCGAACGGGUGAGUAACACGUGGGUAAUCUGCCCUCGAUUCUGGGAUAGCCCGGGGAAACCCGGAUUAAUACCGGAUAGCCUUUUGAUCCUUCGGGUGAAAAGAAAAGGUAGCUUCGGCCUCCGAUCGAGGAUGAGCCCGCGGUGGAUUAGCUUGUUGGCGGGGUAACGGCCCACCAAGGCGACGAUCCAUAGCUGGUCUGAGAGGACGAUCAGCCACACUGGGACUGAGACACGGCCCAGACUCCUACGGGAGGCAGCAGUGGGGAAUAUUGGACAAGUGGGGGCGAACCCCUGAUCCACGCCAUGCCGCGUGAGUGAUGAAGGCC